CCUUGUGACAGCCCAUGGGA
rnacentral:miRNA from 1 species